rnacentral:rRNA from 1 species
UAGGGAAUCUUCCACAAUGGACGCAAGUCUGAUGGAGCAACGCCGCGUGAACGAUGAAGGUCUUCGGAUCGUAAAGUUCUGUUGCAGGGGAAGAUAAUGACGGUACCCUGUGAGGAAGCCCCGGCUAACUACGUGCCAGCAGCCGCGGUAAUACGUAGGGGGCUAGCGUUAUCCGGAUUUACUGGGCGUAAAGGGUGCGUAGGUGGUCUUUCAAGUCGGUGGUUAAAGGCUACGGCUCAACCGUAGUAAGCCUCCGAAACUGUUAGACUUGAGUGCAGGAGAGGAAAGUGGAAUUCCCAGUGUAGCGGUGAAAUGCGUAGAUAUUGGGAGGAACACCAGUAGCGAAGGCGGCUUUCUGGACUGCAACUGACACUGAGGCACGAAAGCGUGGGUAGCAAACAG